AGCGAACGCUGGCGGCAGGCCUAACACAUGCAAGUCGAACGAACUCUUCGGAGUUAGUGGCGGACGGGUGAGUAACACGUGGGAACGUGCCUUUAGGUUCGGAAUAACUCAGGGAAACUUGUGCUAAUACCGAAUGUGCCCUUCGGGGGAAAGAUUUCUCGCCUUUAGAGCGGCCCGCGUCUGAUUAGCUAGUUGGUGGGGUAAUGGCCCACCAAGGCUACAAUCAGUAGCUGGUCUGAGAGGAUGACCAGCCACAUGGGGACUGAGACACGGCCCAAACGCCUACGGGAGGCAGCAGUGGGGAUUCUUGCGCAAUGGGCGAAAGCCUGACGCAGCCAUGCCGCGUGUAUGAUGAAGGUCUUAGGAUUGUAAAAUACUUUCACCGGUGAAGAUAAUGACUGUAGCCGGAGAAGAAGCCCCGGCUAACUUCGUGCCAGCAGCCGCCGUAACAC
rnacentral:rRNA from 1 species